CCUACGGGGGGCAGCAGUGAGGAAUAUUGGUCAAUGGACGCAAGUCUGAACCAGCCAUGCCGCGUGCAGGAAGACGGCUCUAUGAGUUGUAAACUGCUUUUGUACGAGGGUAAUAGCAGAUACGCGUAUCUGUCUGAAAGUAUCGUACGAAUAAGGAUCGGCUAACUCCGUGCCAGCAGCCGCGGUAAACCGGAGGAUUCAAUCGUUAACCGGAUUUAUUGGGUUUAAAGGGUGCGUAGGCGGUCGGAUAAGUUAGAGGUUAAAUCCCCAGGCUCAACUUCGGAAUUGCCUGUGAAACUGUUCGGCUAGAGAGGAGUUGCGGUAGGCGGAAUGUAUGGUGUAGCGGUGAAAUGCUUAGAGAUCAUACAGAACACCGAUUGCGAAGGCAGCUUACCAAGCUACUUCUGACGUUGAGGCACGAAAGCGUGGGGAGCAAACAGGAUUAGAUACCCCUGUAGUC
rnacentral:rRNA from 1 species